UUCUCGUACAAUCACCAAAGUUAAGCAAUAUUGAGCCUGGUCAGUACCUAGAUGGGUGACUGCAUGGGAAUACCAGGUACUGUAA